AAGGCAGCUACACGGCGACGUGAUGCUAAUCCGAAAGCCUCUCUCAGUUCGGAUUGGAGUCUGCAACCCGACUCCAUGAAGCUGGAUUCGCUAGUAAUCGCGCAUCAGCCACGGCGCGGUGAAUACGUUCCCGGGCCUUGUACACACCGCCCGUCAAGCCAUGAAAGCCGGGGGUACCUGAAGUGCGUAACCGCAAGGAGCGCCCUAGGGUAAAACUGGUGAUUGGGGCUAAGUCGUAACAAGGUAGC
rnacentral:rRNA from 1 species